rnacentral:rRNA from 1 species
GACAGAGGUCCCGAGCGUUAGGCGGAAUCACUGGGCUUAAAGCGUGUGUAAGCGGAUCGUUAAGUGUCUUGUGAAAUCCCACGGCUCAACCGUGGAACUGCUGGGCAUACUGGACAUCUCGAGGCACUCAGGGGCGAGCGGAACAAGUGGUGGAGCGGUGAAAUGCGUAGAUAUCAGGAGGAACACCAAUUGCGAAGGCAGCUCGCUGGGACGUUACUGACGCUGAGACGCGAAAGCGUGGGGAGCAAACAGG